AACGAACGCUGGCGGCAUGCCUAACACAUGCAAGUCGAACGAACCCUUCGGGGUUAGUGGCGCACGGGUGCGUAACGCGUGGGAAUCUGCCCUUUGCUUCGGAAUAACUCAGGGAAACUUGUGCUAAUACCGGAUGAUGUCUUCGGACCAAAGAUUUAUCGGCAAGGGAUGAGCCCGCGUAGGAUUAGGUAGUUGGUGGGGUAAAGGCCUACCAAGCCGACGAUCCUUAGCUGGUCUGAGAGGAUGAUCAGCCACACUGGGACUGAGACACGGCCCAGACUCCUACGGGAGGCGGCAGUGGGAAAUAUUGGACAAUGGGCGCAAGCCUGAUCCAGCAAUGCCGCGUGAGUGAUGAAGGCCCUCGGGUCGUAAAGCUCUUUUACCAGGGAUGAUAAUGACAGUACCUGGAGAAUAAGCUCCGGCUAACUCCGUG
rnacentral:rRNA from 1 species